rnacentral:lncRNA from 1 species
AGUGGGAGCCAGGCUGGAGUCCGCUGGUGGAAGACAGGACACAGGCUGGAAAGUGCCUUCCAACACCACCCAGCCACCACGGCCAGGCUGGAAGGACAGCACACCCCAGCCACUCAGGAGUCACUUCGGACAGCCCACCUAGGGGCUUAAGUCCCAGUGGGACAUGCCCACCCAGGCUGCCUCAGCUGCCCACGGGGCCUCCAACCACAGCCACAGGCUCCACAGGUAUGACCACCCUGCCCAACUCAGUCCGCUUGGGCCAUCCAGUUGGCCGCAGAGCAGAAGGAUGGCGAUCAAACCACAGAACAGAGUAUGUGGACAGGUGGGCGGGGCACUGCAGAGUGGAGGGUGGACCUGGAGGGUGCCUGGGAAUCCACACACACCAAGGCUGGACCUCACAAGAGGAGGGGCGGGCACGCUACACUCUGAAGUCUGAAUCGUCCCUGGCCAGCCUGUGGCUGCUCUCACCUUUCCUUUGCUGCAGUGUGUGUCAAACACAUGAAUGAAUGAGCAAAUGAGUGAAUCAGUCCCUGCCACCAGACCCCACAGGGUUACAUCAAGGCCACCGAGGCUCAGCCGGGACAGGACUGGCCGGUAUCACACAAUCGGUGGGGGGAGGGCAUCACACCCGGACUUCUGCACACAGGGCCUCUUUGCCAGAGGCUGGGCUGGAGCUCGACCCCAGGGCCACCUGGCUCACCUCAUCUGUCCCCAUAGCCACCUUUCAGUCCCCACCAUGGCCACCAUCCCCUUGUCCCCCACCUCCGUCCCCACAGCCACCCUGCCCACGGAGUUGAUCGCUUGAUUAAGCGCAGCAUUUCAGUGCCCAGGGAGAAAAAUCAAUUCGCUUGGUUCCACUUUAAUCCAUCAGUUCCAUUUCUGAUAAAUGUCCCCGUGCUGGAGUCACCAUGUAGCCGCAGUGCCCCGCAGAGAUUAGCUGCUAGGUCAGGGCAGCCAGGGCGAGCAUCUGGCGAGCUGGGGCAAGCCUGGACCCUCAACUUGCCGUGACUCCCCACCCCUCUUCCCAGCACUUUACAUGGUGGUAAGUGUGGGUACAGAGGUCAGAGCCCAGCUCUGGCCCCACCUGCCAGGGCCUGGAUGAGCCCAGCUCCCAAGCUGCGAGCUGGUGACAUUGUGGGGCUGGGAUUAAAUGGGAUCUGCGGCUGCCAGGCUGGGCUUCUCAGGAAUGAGCUGGCACUGGAGGACGAGUGGAUUAGACGCGAGGUCAAUAUUUGUGGAAUUGAAUUGAAUCUGUCACUUGGGGCGUGUAUGUUCCAGGUAAUUUUGUGGUUUCUGCCUCUGGCAGGAAAACCCAACACGAUGACUGCCCCUCGCAGGCCACAGUCAGCCCGGCCCCAGGAGAGAGACCCGUGGAGCCCUAUGUCUCAGCAGGCAAGACCACCCUGGCCUGCCAUGCCUCCAUCCUAUGCCUAUAAAAACCCAAGACCCUAGCAAGGCAGAGACAGAAGCCUCUGUGUGGGGAGAGGAACACACUGGUGGAAGAAGACAAGCUGCUGGACAUCCCGAGAAUGUUGCCUGACUCCAGGGGAAAACCAUCUCCCCUCUGGCUCCCCCAUCUGCUGAGAGCUACUUCCACUCAAUAAAACCUUGCACUCAUUCUCCAAGCCCACGUGUGAUCCAAUUUUUUGGUACACCAAGGCAAGAAACCCUGGGAUACAGAAAUUCCUCUGUCCUUGUUAUAAGGCAGGGGUCUAAUUGAGCUCACUCUCACCAGCCACCUACAGACCGCUAGACUAAAAGACCACCCGGUAACGCACUCCCACUGGGGUUUCAAGAGCUGUAAACAUUCACCCCCAGACACUGCCAUGGGGUCAGAGCCCCACAGCCUGCCCGUCUGUAUGCUCCCCUAGAGGUGUGAGCGGUGGGGCACUGAAGAAGCGAGCCACUCCCCCGCUGCAUGCCCUGCGCCCUGCGCGGGGUAACCAGGGAACCCUUCCUGUUUCACUGUUUCACUGGGUAGAGAUCUCCCGGCUGGAGACAGAAUGGUGGGGAGAGGCCAGAUGUGCCCAGCAGAUCCUGAGCCAGAGAAGGCCAUCAAUUAUUCAGCUCCUGCCUCUCAGCCUCCUCCGUUAGUACCUCUUAAAGCCGGGAAGAUAAAUCUCUCCGCUUGCUCCGUGGCGCCGACAGGAAGCAGGGCGGCACCAGGACCGUGACAGGCCCCGGCUGGGCCCCGGUUUCCCGAGCCAGCACAGGCGGCCUGCAAGGCUUCUCUGCUAUUAAAUCCAUAAUUCAGCGGCAACGCAGCUGGGGCCUGGCACACAGGGUCCCUGUGAUGAGGAGGGGCUGCCCCUGCCGGAAUGCACCAGAGGCUGCCACCAGGGAGAGAGUUACAAGGACCACUUCCGUGGACCUGGCAGGUCCUAGGGCCCCCUUUAAAAUUGUGCCUGGGGAGAGUCCCUGGCGCUGCUCCGGAGGAUCAUGGAGCCCGACUCUACUCACAGGGGAGACCACACAGCUUCUGCGGGGCAAGACAGCUGAGGAGCAUGUCAGGACAGUGCCAUCUGCCACCAAGGCAGCUCCAGAGAGUGGGACAGCUGUGAGAGGCGGGACCUGUCCAGGCUCCCUGAUGGGCACUCACAGCCCCCUUCACCCUCAGCGAGGCACUUGCCCCAAUGAAAACUGAGCAGUUGGACAAUCUGAUGUCUUGGAGGGUCCAGAGUCUCACUCUGUUGCCCAGGCUGGAGUGCGAUGGCAUGAUCUCGGCUCCCUGCAAUCUCCACCUCCCAGGUUCAAGCAAUUCUCCUACCUCAGCCUCCUGAGUAGCUGGGAUCACAGGCACACACCACCAUGCCCGGCUAAUUUUUGUAUUUUUAGUAGAGACGGGGUUUCACCAUGUUGGCCAGGCUGGUCUCCAACUCCUGACCUCAAGUGAUCAGCCUGCCUCGGGCUCCUAAAGUGCUGGGAUUACAGGCGUGAGCCACCGCGCCCGGCCAUAGGGCAUCCUCUUAAUUAGAGUGUGAGGCCUGCGGAUAUGGGCUGGGGAAUAAGUUGAUGCUGACAGAAAAUAACUUAAACCAUUGAAAGGAACAGGAAGUAAACAGAAGCAAAUAUUUACCGAAUCCCUGGUGAGAAGGAACUUUCCAAGAAUAAAGGGAAGGAUGAGUUCACUUUGACUGUGUGGAAGCUAAAUUCUCAGGUGGCUCAAAGGAAAACAUCAAGCUAAAAGACAAGAAAUGAGGCGGGUAAAUUUUUGACACUAACAUGACAAAAAAUUAAUAGCAUUAACACGGCAGGAACUUAUCUGAAGCAGCAACACCAAGGGCAAUGUGAGUGAACUGCAGACAAGGCAACCCGGACGCCAUGGGACACGCCACAGAGCAGGCUGCCUUGUCCCCACUCUGCCUACAUGUGAGACCCACCAGACUCACAGUGAACACAUCCCAGCCCCUCCGGCCGGGCACCACGGAAGGCCCUCCCUCCUCCACUGAGGGCAGGGAUCACAGGGCCAGGUUUUUGUCAUCGGACAAGGGGUGUCCCAAGUCAUGAGAUGCUUAACCCAUGAAUGCCCCCUCUUGGAGUCUAUGCUAAUUAAACACGUAGAGGGGCGGACUUCACUCUGCCAGCUCAGAUAAUGACCACAGCAUAUUUAUAACCACAAAGAGGUGGAAACAGCUACACUAUCCAACAGUGGGGAAAUGUUUAAGUCAAUGCUGGGAGAGUAACACCAUGGACCAGCCCCGAAGAGACAUCUGUGGUGAGUGAAAUGCACGCCAUACAAGCCCAGAGAGACUGUGAACUUGGAAGAAAGAAUAGGUGCACACAAUAAGACUGGGAGGAAAUGAACAAACUAUCAUCGGCCAUGAGGUUCUCCUUUACUUACAAUAAGUAUAUGCAGCACAGACAUGAGAAAGGCAUUCCUGGAGUGUGAAGCCCAGGGCAAGAGGAUGCGGGUGUCCUGAGCAAGCAAUAAUGCCAGCACCUUCUGCAAGGAGCUCUGCUGGGCCACCUCUUGGGCAACAAACCAUCCUGGGACAUCUUGCAGACAAGGAAACAGGCUUCAGGAGGCAAUGGUGCCUCUUGAAGGGCAGGGCACACAGCCACAGGGCCACCUUCUGCAUGGCUCCCACCGCAGCUGAGUCUCCAAGGAAGCUGGGUUUUUACAGGGGCAGGUCCUCAAGGUGGAUACCCCUUUGCUAAAGGCUCUGCCCCAGCAACCCACAAGCAGCCACUUGCCCUGGGCUCCAGGCGGCUGCCCUCCCCUUGCUGUCCUCUGGACUGUUUAGUAUGCAGAAGGACCAGCCCUGCAAGGCCACCAUAAAUCCUGCCCCUGUCCUACAGCAGAUCAAUUGCCAAUCGGCUCCAAAUCCCCUAGAUGUCUCAGCAGCUUGGCCCAGCUGUAGGAGCCACGGCCAUGGUUGGCUCUAGAUGCUGCUGGCUAUAUAUAUUGAACUUGAAGCAUCGGAUUACAUGUUUGUUCAAUAGCAAUAAACUCCCAAAGUUUUAUGGGGUCAUAAAACCGCUGUCUCGGCUCCCACUUAGGUGGUAUGUAAUGUACACAGGCUGGUUUCCCCGCUAAUGGGGCGGUGCAAGUGAUUUGGGGCUAUUAGCUGGAAACAUCACAUCUGCAUUUCCCAAAUUCUCAUAAAUAAGGUGGCCCCACCAGAGUGCACC